GGUCCAGCUAAGUAUGGUGUCUAUUAUGUGCAUAUUUACUAUCAUGGUAAUACUUUGCUGCUUCAAAUGGCUUGUUGCAUGUAGUAGAUUUAUGAUUAAACUAAGAGAGGAUCACAAUGACUAUUAUAAAGGUUCCUCUACAAGUUGUGUGAUUUUCUGAAUUGAGAGAUUUGAAUUGAAAGCCUAAACUAGUAUUAGUAUAUAAAUGACCACUCUAGAGAAU
rnacentral:misc_RNA from 1 species